rnacentral:rRNA from 1 species
CUUCCUACGGGACGCAGCAGUGGGGAAUAUUGCACAAUGGGGGAAACCCUGAUGCAGCAACGCCGCGUGAGUGAAGAAGUAUUUCGGUAUGUAAAGCUCUAUCAGCAGGGAAGAAGAUGACGGUACCUGAAUAAGAAGCCCCGGCUAACUACGUGCCAGCAGCCGCGGUAAUACGUAGGGGGCAAGCGUUAUCCGGAUUUACUGGGUGUAAAGGGAGCGUAGACGGCAUGGCAAGUCAGAUGUGAAAGCCCG